rnacentral:tRNA from 1 species
GAAGGUAUAGCUCAGUUAGUAGAGUGUGUGCCUAGCAUGCACAAGGUCCUGGGUUCAAUCCCCAGUAACUCCA